GUACCUCAGAUGGAAAUGCAGAAAUCACUGUCUUCUGCGUCGCUCACGCUGGGAGCUGUCGACCGGAGCUGUUCCUAUUCGGCCAUCCUGGCUCCCCAUCAGUGGUGUCUUUCAUGAUGUGGGAUAAGGAUGCUUUCAGCACAGCAAGAUGACAGCCAUGCCUCCCCACUCAGAGCAGCCUCACAGUCCAAGCACAAGACAGAAACGAAAAGUUCCUUUGUUUGUAAGGCAAUGCCCAUCUUUUGUCAUUCAGGCCCCCAAAGCUAAGGGGCCAUCCAUGGAGGGCUGGAUGGUGUCCUCACUCUCCCAUCACACAGCUCUUCUGAUGAUGUUUUUGCUUGUCUUUCUGGAAGUUCGCUCUGAUCCAAAAUUACAUCUGCAAGGGGCAGCUGAAGUCCAUCAGUUCUGUGAAGUCUUCUGGGAGUUGCCUCAGCCUAGAGAUCUCUUCCUCCAUUUCUCCAAAUAUUUCAGUUAGCUCUAAAUGAACAAUUAGCAUCUCCUAAUUGUGCAACUAUUUAAUUUUGGUUUCCUCAACCAAGGAGUUAAUCCCUUUCUGAGGGCAGGUACUGUCAACUUCUUUUGAUUUUUCUACACUGCAUGUGGCCAUCCCAGAUAACUCACUAACAAUAAAUUCUUGAUGACAUGACUCUACAUGGUAAGACGGCACUACUCACUUGCCAAGAGCCAAACAGAUAUUUUGGAAUCAUUUCCCAGAUAGUGAUAAAAAAUGGGCACAGACCAUUUGUAAUCUUUCAUCCCAUCUUCCUUUUGACUAGUGUCAUCCCUGUAAACCAUGAGUGAUCAGGAUUACAUCUCUACAUUCAGCAGGAGUAGAAUAGAAUUUCCAUUUGCACACAAAACUGACUCACUGAGAGCAAUUUAGUGAUCUCAGUAGAUGGGCCUGCUGCAUGGAAAGGCAGCCAACAGAUGGGGAGUGUCCCUAUCUUAGCCAGAGGAGGGGAAAGUAUGGGAUUCAAUCUGUUUCUUUAAAAGCUGAAGGAUAAACUGAAGAUGAUGUUCAUAAAAACUGUAUUUCCAUUGUUAAGGAGAAAAAUAGAUAGGUAAGCUCAGCCCUCUUUUGAUAAAAGUUGAACAGAGAGGUGAAAAAGGGAAUCCAUUUGUUUAUGCACUUAUCCUAAAGAGAACAUUGAAAGUCAAGGGGGUAUGUCCAGUGGUUUGCAAAGUGGUGUCUCCAGGGGACAUUUACAGUCAAUGUCAUCUACAGAAAGUUGCUGUCUUUGCUAUAGUGAAGGGCAAAUCAUCUCCCAAUUGCGCUGCUUUUCAAGAUUCCAUGAGGAGCUCUACUCUUGAAAAUUUCUGAAUCAAAAUAGAAUCUUAAGGAGUCUAAUUCUAAAUACAAACUUCAUGUGUAAGAUUCUCGCCAUGGCUGUAUGGCAGGUUUUUAAAGAAAGUAUGAGAAUGGUGUAUUUUAUCCAAGUGCUUGUUGCUGUUUUGCUCACUGGUGUCCUAAGCACCUAGAAAAGUCCUUGGCAGUUUUUAGGUGCACAAUAAGUAUUUAAUUUUAUUAUUCCUAAAUUAUUGGUUCGAUGAUUGGGUGUAUACAAGUGCAUAUGUGGAUAUGUGCAUUUGAAUGGAGAGAAAGAAAAAGUACAUGCUUACUCUCUGUGCUAUAAUGUCUCAAAUAUUAAAUCAUGACAUAUGAUAAUAAUGGUCAUUUUUAAGUUACAAAGUUCUUUCACCAUUCAUUCAUUCAG
rnacentral:lncRNA from 1 species